rnacentral:rRNA from 1 species
GGCCCAGACUCCUACGGGAGGCAGCAGUGGGGAAUAUUGCACAAUGGGGGAAACCCUGAUGCAGCGACGCCGCGUGAGUGAAGAAGUAUUUCGGUAUGUAAAGCUCUAUCAGCAGGGAAGAAAAUGACGGUACCUGACUAAGAAGCCCCGGCUAACUACGUGCCAGCAGCCGCGGUAAUACGUAGGGGGCAAGCGUUAUCCGGAUUUACUGGGUGUAAAGGGAGCGUAGACGGCGAUGCAAGCCAGAUGUGAAAGCCUGGGGCUCAACCCCGGGACUGCAUUUGGAACUGUGUGGCUGGAGUGUCGGAGAGGCAGGCGGAAUUCCUAGUGUAGCGGUGAAAUGCGUAGAUAUUAGGAGGAACACCAGUGGCGAAGGCGGCCUGCUGGACGAUGACUGACGUUGAGGCUCGAAAGCGUGGGGAGCAAACAGGAUUAGAUACCCGAGUAC